UUAUAACUAACAGGGGGAAUGGUGAUCCCAGAGUACUCAGUUUAUAACCUCUCAGAGUCACAUAGCAGGACUACAAGCAGUGCUGCAAUCUUGAGAGGAAACCACCAGUGAAGAAGAAUGCAGAAGGGGAGGUUUGGAUUCACUCUCUAGGGUCCAGGAAAGGGCAGGGAAGGCCCUGCAUGUAUCCUGAGGCUCCUGGCCUUCCAGCCCCAGGGAAACAAUGGCAUCGACCACACCGUGGAGCCCAUCUGGCAAGUGGUGACUUGAGAAACAGGCAGUGCUUGAUGUUGGCUCUGAUGUCCCUGGUCCAAAUUUAGCCCCCAGAGGUGACUGAGACCUGCGUCAACCCUGGAAUGAAGUCAGUCCCCUAGAAUUCUCAAGAUGUUAGUGCUAGGACUCAUCUUAAACUGUCCUGAGGGCCAACCCCAAUAUUGUGAAGCUACUUUACCAUCAGAGCCCUUCUUCUGGCUUCUUGUUGAGUACCUUUCCACGUGCUGAGUGCUUUCCACUUGUUGAGUGCCUUUCCACAAUGUCUCUAUGCUGAGCUUUGAAAGGGUGCACAGAGUUAGAGGGAUGUGGCCAGCAGUCCACCAGGAGGCCUUUGGGAGGGCUCAGAUUUGGGUGCCAAAGAAAGCACAGGCGCUUGGCACCCCGACCGCAGGGCUGUCCUGCUGUAGACCCUCACCUCAGAGAGCUCCACUGAUUUCAGUGACCACACUUGGAGCCACACUGCCUGAGCGCAGAUCCUGGCUUUGCUCCUCACCAACUGCGUGACUUCUGACAAUUUAUAAAAAUCCUGUGUCCUGGCUUCUUUUUUUUGGAAGGGAGAAAGUGGUGGUAUCUACUUCCUAGGUCACUGUGAGAACUACACGGUUAGUUCAUGUGAAGUGUUUGGAGCUUUUCAUGGCACUUAGUAUGUGUUCAGUAAGUGUUAGCUAUUAGCAGGGUUUUGGUAGUAAGGUAAAGUUUAUCUGGGUGCAUAUUCUGUGCCAGGAUGUUAACAUGUUAGAUUGGCAAAACCUAAAUAAUGAUCCAUA
rnacentral:lncRNA from 1 species